CCGCAGGCCGCCGCGGGCUUCUGUCGAGCUCCAGGGAAACCAGAUAUAGCCUGAGAUGUUUUAAAACCACAAAUCCAACGUCCAAACCAGUUUAAGCUGCAGAACGAUUCCUCUGGUGAAAGAUGUCCGAAUGCAAGUGGAGCGAGCCCACGUUCAGCAAAAUCACGCCCUGAGUUAACGUGUACGCCCUAUGCCAACAGAUACGGCUUUCCUCAAACAAAGGUUAGAGGAAACUAUGUUUGCUGCCCAUUCUGCCAUUUGACUGGAUUCCAGAACUCUCCAGGACACGCCCCUUGUCCCCUCACCUACG